GGGAAUCUUCGGCAAUGGGGGCAACCCUGACCGAGCAACGCCGCGUGAGUGAAGAAGGUUUUCGGAUCGUAAAGCUCUGUUGUAAGUCAAGAACGGGUGUGAGAGUGGAAAGUUCACACUGUGACGGUAGCUUACCAGAAAGGGACGGCUAACUACGUUCCAGCAGCCGCGGUAAUACGUAGGUCCCGAGCGUUGUCCGGAUUUAUUGGGCGUAAAGCGAGCGCAGGCGGUUUGAUAAGUCUGAAGUUAAAGGCUGUGGCUCAACCAUAGUUCGCUUUGGAAACUGUCAAACUUGAGUGCAGAAGGGGAGAGUGGAAUUCCAUGUGUAGCGGUGAAAUGCGUAGAUAUAUGGAGGAACACCGGUGGCGAAAGCGGCUCUCUGGUCUGUAACUGACGCUGAGGCUCGAAAGCGUGGGGAGCGAACAGG
rnacentral:rRNA from 1 species